CGCGGAAUCGCGGGGGCGACGCGUUUCUCGGCAGCUGUUGUGUAAUUAAAUCUCCCAGAUGACACCAGGCCCGCUGCAGCUUCAGAAGUGACUGAGGGACAAUGACAUCAAGGCCAAUGGCAAAUAAGGAAGGAGUCAGUGGCAGCAAAGAGGAGGAAAAGGAGUCGGUGGUAGUGAGGAGAGUGUCUUUGCCAAGAAAAAUUUGACUUGGAAAAAAAACAAAUGGAACAUCUGUGCAAUGAGCUAAGAUGGAGAAGAAAACUUGAGAUAUACAGACUGAAGUAGAUUGUUGCCCAUAAAACUCAAGCCACAAAGGAACUGAACUGUACUGAAUGUUUGCUGCAGCACAUACAGACUCAUACCUGCCAAUAUGUCCCUAUUUUCUCAUUCACCUGAAUGGGGAAAUAGGGACAUGUUGGCGGGUAUGCAGUCUUGGCACACCAACACUUCUGAAAUGUAUCCUUCAGGUCUGUUCUUCUCCUGCCAAUCCUAAACAUGUUGAUUAAAAAGAAA